UACGUAGGGACCAAGCGUUGUCCGGAAUUAUUGGGCGUAAAGAGCUCGUAGGCGGCCGUUCGCGUCGGAUGUGAAAGCUCAGGGCUCAACCCUGAGAGGCCAUUCGAUACGGGACGGCUAGAGGUAGGUAGGGGAGAUCGGAAUUCCUGGUGUAGCGGUGAAAUGCGCAGAUAUCAGGAGGAACACCGGUGGCGAAGGCGGAUCUCUGGGCCUUACCUGACGCUGAGGAGCGAAAGCUGGGGGAGCAAACAGGAUUAGAAACCCGCGUAGUCC
rnacentral:rRNA from 1 species